AACGAACGCUGGCGGCAGGCCUAACACAUGCAAGUCGAGCGGACAUCUUCGGAUGUUAGCGGCGGACGGGUGAGUAACGCGUGGGAACGUGCCCUUUGCUUCGGAAUAGCCUCGGGAAACUGGGAGUAAUACCGGAUGUACCCUUUGGGGGAAAGAUUUAUCGGCAAAGGAUCGGCCCGCGUUGGAUUAGGUAGUUGGUGGGGUAAUGGCCUACCAAGCCGACGAUCCAUAGCUGGUUUGAGAGGAUGAUCAGCCACACUGGGACUGAGACACGGCCCAGAAUCCUACGGGAGGCAGCAGUGGGGAAUCUUAGACAAUGGGGGAAACCAUGAUCUAGCCAUGCCGCGUGAGCGAUGAAGGCCUUAGGGUUGUAAAGCUCUUUCACCGGGGAAGAUAAUGACGGUACCCGGAGAAGAAGCCCCGGCUAACUCCGUG
rnacentral:rRNA from 1 species